rnacentral:tRNA from 1 species
GGGGGCAUGGCUCAGCAGCAGGGGCAGAGCAUCUGCUUGGCAUACAGAAGGUUCCAGGUCCAAUCCCUGGCAUCUCCG